UGAAUCAAUCUUAGACCUCAUGAAGGAUGCCCUUAUACACCAGUAGCUAAUUAACACAUGAUCUACAACCAUACUAUAUGUAUAAAGCUUUAAAAUAAAAUAAAAACAAUAAUAAUAAUUUUGGUAAAUAUGUAUAUAUAUAUAUAUAUAUAUAAUUUAAACGUAGAUUUUAAACCAAGAAACGUCAAGAGAAACAUGGGGAUAAAACAUAAAAGAAAAAAAACCGAAAGUGGACAAAAGAAGAAAAAAAAAGGCAAUUUCAUGUACUGUGAGUGUGAUGCUUAUUGAUGUAAAUAACUAAUAAAUAUCAUCAGUUAUGUUUUGUCAAAUUAUAAUCAAAGCAAAGUAGUAAAAAAGACGGCAAAAAUCAAUCUGCAAUGGCUAAAAAACUGCCGCCACAAGUGUACGAUACCGUUAGUUAAAAGACACGUCAGUGCUUAGAGACCUUCCGACAGAAAACGACACGGUGGAGAAAACGUGUCCGUCUCACCAUGAAAGAUGACCCGAAAC
rnacentral:lncRNA from 1 species